GCACUUUUUCGGCCUUUUUUACCAAAAACACAGCACUUUGCCAACUCGUAAGAGGAAGUAUAAGGUGUGACGCCUGCCCGGUGCUCGAAGGUUAAGAGGAUGCGUCAGUCGCAAGAUGAAGCGUUGAAUUGAAGCCCGAGUAAACGGCGGCCGUAACUAUAACGGUCCUAAGGUAGCGAAAUUCCUUGUCGGUUAAAUACCGACCUGCAUGAAUGGCGUAACGAGAUGGGAGCUGUCUCAACCAGAGAUUCAGUGAAAUUGUAGUGGAGGUGAAAAUUCCUCCUACCCGCGGCAAGACGGAGAGACCCCGUGGACCUUUACUACAACUUAGCACUGCUAAUGGGAAUAUCAUGCGCAGGAUAGGUGGGAGGCUUUGAAGUAAGGGCUUUGGCUCUUAUGGAGA
rnacentral:rRNA from 1 species